AACGAACGCUGGCGGCAGGCCUAACACAUGCAAGUCGAGCGCACCCUUCGGGGCGAGCGGCGGACGGGUUAGUAACGCGUGGGAAUGUACCCUUCUCUAUGGAAUAGCCUCGGGAAACUGAAAGUAAUACCAUAUACGCCCUUCGGGGGAAAGAUUUAUCGGAGAAGGAUCAGCCCGCGUAAGAUUAGAUAGUUGGUGGGGUAAUGGCCUACCAAGUCUACGAUCUUUAGCUGGUUUUAAAGGAUGAUCAGCAACACUGGGACUGAGACACGGCCCAGACUCCUACGGGAGGCAGCAGUGGGGAAUCUUAGACAAUGGGCGCAAGCCUGAUCUAGCCAUGCCGCGUGUGUGAUGAAGGCCUUAGGGUCGUAAAGCACUUUCGCCAGGGAUGAUAAUGACAGUACCUGGUAAAGAAACCCCGGCUAACUCCGUGCCAGCAGCCGCGGUAAUACGGAGGGGGUUAUCGUUGUUCGGAAUUACUGGGCGUAAAGCGCACCUAUGCGGGAUCAGAAAGUUGGGGGUGAAAUCCCAGGGGGCAACCCUGGAAAC
rnacentral:rRNA from 1 species